GCCUGACACCAGAAGGUUUGCUGAAGUCCCCCAAGGUCUGUGCAGGUGGCAACUGGUGACCCAGAAGAGGGACUCCGAGGAUGUCGGACAAGUGGCCUCCGAACAUAGGACUUUGAGGACGUGAACAAAGAAGGUUCUGCUGGAGUAGAGGAACUGAAAUUCACAAGGUGAAUGGGGAAACCUGGAUGAGUCGGCUGGCAGCGGAUAUAAGGUCAGUGCCCUGAAGAGGUACUGGGAGCGAUAUGAGGUCGGUGCUCUAAAGUAC
rnacentral:lncRNA from 10 species